rnacentral:lncRNA from 1 species
UUUUAAUCUCCUGCCCUUCCUUUCUUCUUCACCCCAGCCCCGCCGGGUUGAAACUCUUCAGCAUUGGGAGGGGUUGGCGGGGGGGAUGAUGGAUAGAUAGAUGGAUGGUGGGAGGAGGAGGAGGGGGAGAGGGAGGUGAAGGCAGGCGGGGAGGGAAGGAGGGAGGAAGGGAGGGAAGGAAGGAGCGAAGGAGGGGGGGAAGGGGGUGCCUCCCGGUGGGGCUCCUCGGUCGCUGGGUGCCCGGCUGGGGGUCCCGCUGGGUCCCCGGGGCUCACACCAUGUCGCGGCGGCGGCGGCAGGAGGAGCGGCGCCGGGGCCGGCAGCCUCUGGUGGCAGCCUCGCGGUGCUCCCAGCGCCCGGGCAUGGCACGGCACGGCCCGGCUCGGCACGGCACGGCCCGGCACGGCUCGGCACGGCCCGGCUCGGCUCGGCACGGCCCGGCUCGGCUCGGCUCGGCACGGCCCGGUCACGCCGGCAGGCGGUGGCAGCCCCGGCCCCGCUGUCGCAUGUGGGGCUGACGCCCAGCGCCGCGGCGGGGCUGGAGAGGGGUUUGCUGCGAGGCAGACAAAGAUAGCCGGGGCGGAGGAGGAGGAGGAGGAGGAGAAGGAGGAGGAGGAGAAGGAGGAGGAGAAAAGGGCUACAAAACACACCGCGAGCUUGAGGGAGGGAGAGAGAGAAAACAGCUCCCCCUUCCCUUCUCCAACAGGAAAAACCGGCGGAAACGCGCCCGCACCAAAGCACUUCUGGGUAAAUUCGCCCAGAGAGGCGGCGAGGGACGGCCCCGGGCCGGCCCCGCUGCCCCCCGGCCAGCGCUAGCCACGGGCGACCCACGGGUGUCCGCGGCGGGGCCGUGGGGUGCCGCGGCGGGACGGGGCUGCCCGUCCCCGGGGCUGCCCGGCGCCCUCCGGGCCGAGGGAGGCGGCCUCUGGGCCCCCGGACCCCCCUGGGAAACCUUCCUGCCUCCUGGGGGGCUCUGGGGGGACAGAGGGGACCGCCAGCCCCGGGUGGCAGAGCCAGCGAGCCCUCCAAAGGGCGUCGUGUCCCCUGUUCCCUGCCGCCAAGGCCUAGGAUCCUCCGGCAGAAGCCGCGUCACGUGGAGAAAUCUCAUUAACCUCGCUCUCUGCUGCCAGCCCCAUCGGGCAGUCGCACGCAGGUGUAAACCUUGGCAGGACCCGGCUCUCCUUGAAGUGCUUUAUCGCACCGAUACGGCAAAAGUGUUACCUGCCUGCGAGAGGUCGGGUUGUGUUUCCUGUGGGAACCAAGGUUUUCCUGUCUCUUCUGCUCUAACCACAAAAUUACAUAUACAUGGCUUUGACUUUAUGUACUCCUUCUCAAUCUACAAUCUUAACAUCCGAAAAUACAUACAGAUAUCUCAAAGUUAA